AACAGAAUGCUGGGCUACACUGACCAGGACAUUCCCAACAGAGACCAAGAAGUCACUAUCCCAGUCUGCUCAGCUCUUGCCAGGCCACGUCUGGAAUACUGUGUUCAGGUUUGGUCCCCAAUAAAGAUGUAAACUGGCUAGAGAGAGUCUAAAGAGGGGCCACAAAGAUGACCAAAGGAGGGUGAAGCCCGACAUAUGGGGAAAGGCUGAGAAAACUGGGCUUGUUCAGCAUUGAGAAAAGAAGGCUUAGGAUAGACAUUCUUACCAUGCUCCAGUGUUAAAAGGAUGGCAACAAAGAAGAUCAGAAUCUCUUUUUAGGAGUCACAUGAAAACAACAAGGGGUAAUGGGUACAAGUAAAUCCUGGGGAGGUUCUGAUUGGGCACUACACGAAAAAUUUUUGCAAUGAGAAUAAUCUCCCCAGGGAAGUGCUGGAUUCACCCAUAUUGGACACUUUUAAGAUUCAUCUGGACAAGAUGGUGGGCCAUCUUGUUUAGACUGCUUUUGUCAAGAAAGUCUGGGCCAGAUGAUGCUUGAGGUCCCUUCCAACCUGGCUACUGUUGAAAAGAGUGA